AUUGAACGCUGGCGGCAGGCCUAACACAUGCAAGUCGAGCGGAGCGGCGGACGGGUGAGUAAUGCCUAGGAAUCUGCCUCGUCGUGGGGGAUAACGUCCGGAAACGGGCGCUAAUACCGCAUACUAUUAGCGUAGCCUAGGUCGGAUUAGCUAGUUGGUGGGGUAACGGCUUACCAAGGCGACGAUCCGUAACUGGUGUGAGAGGAAGAUCAGCCACACUGGGACUGAGACACGGCCCAGACUCCUACGGGAGGCAGCAGUGGGGAAUUUUGGACAAUGGGGGAAAGCCUGAUCCAGCCAUGCCGCGGUUGUGAAGAAGGCCUUCGGGUUGUAAAGCACUUUUGGUAGGGAAGCGGUACCUGCAGAAUAAGCACCGGCUAACUACGUGCCAGCAGCCGCGGUAAUAC
rnacentral:rRNA from 1 species